GUGAGGAAUAUUGCGCAAUGGAGGCAACUCUGACGCAGCCAUGCCGCGUGCAGGAAGAAGGCGCUACGUGUUGUAAACUGCUUUUAACCGGGAAGAAACCCCAGGACGUGUCCUGGGUUGACGGUACCGGAGGAAUAAGCACCGGCUAACUUCGUGCCAGCAGCCGCGGUAAUACGAAGGGUGCAAGCGUUAUCCGGAUUCAUUGGGUUUAAAGGGUGCGUAGGCGGAGCGUUAAGUCAGUGGUGAAAUCCUGCAGCUUAACUGUAGACUUGCCAUUGAUACUGGCGCUCUUGAGUGCGCUUGAAGUGGGCGGAAUGUGCCGUGUAGCGGUGAAAUGCUUAGAUAUGGUACAGAACACCAAUUGCGAAGGCAGCUCACUAAGGCGAUACUGACGCUGAGGCACGAAAGCGUGGGGAUCGAACAGGAUUAGAAACCCCAGUAGUCC
rnacentral:rRNA from 1 species